rnacentral:rRNA from 1 species
GUGAGGAAUAUUGGUCAAUGGGCGGAAGCCUGAACCAGCCAAGUCGCGUGAGGGAAGACGGCCCUACGGGUUGUAAACCUCUUUUGCCGGGGAGCAGAGAGGUCCACGUGUGGAUCUUGGGAGAGUACCCGGAGAAAAAGCAUCGGCUAACUCCGUGCCAGCAGCCGCGGUAAUACGGAGGAUGCGAGCGUUAUCCGGAUUUAUUGGGUUUAAAGGGUGCGUAGGCGGCAUCGCAAGUCAGCGGUAAAAUUACGGGGCUCAACCCCGCCGAGCCGUUGAAACUGCGGAGCUUGAGUGGGCGAGAAGUAUGCGGAAUGCGUGGUGUAGCGGUGAAAUGCAUAGAUAUCACGCAGAACCCCGAUUGCGAAGGCAGCAUACCGGCGCCCGACUGACGCUGAAGCACGAAAGCGUGGGUAUCGAACAGG